UUUGUGUUGAGAAAAAAAACAAUUGUAACUGUUGUGGACUUUAAACAUGUUAAUAGCUUAUUAAUAAUUUUACAUACAUGUACAUAUCAUGAAAUACAGUCUCCUGGAUAUUCAGUUGAUAUUAAUUUCAUUUUUUGUGCAACUGCAUUCCAAAAGCUGUACAAUCAGCAUUUAAAAACAAAGAAUUAUGGAAAAUAUUUUUGAAUAUUAUACGGUUUCAUCUAUUCAAAGUGAGCUCUUUUCUGGAUGAACUUCUUAUUUAUUUCAGUUUUUUUCUUUUUUUUUAGUAGGAAAAAGAAAGACUAUUGUCUUUUAGAAACUGAAAAUAGACAAGAUCACAUAUUAUAUUUAUCACAUAAUUUAUAAUUGAGAACAAAUUCCAUCAAGAAAAAUUAGAAAAGUAUUCACUAUUGUGAUAAGUUUCACACAACAUAAUUUUCUAGACAAUUAUAAAACUGUUGAUUUAUGUUUAUCAUAAUUUUAUUGUACUGUUCAUCAUUGAUCUAAAUAAAAUCAUUACAACUCUGGUUAAUGCGUUCAGAGUAAAAUCUAAA
rnacentral:lncRNA from 1 species